CUACGGGGCGCACCAGUGAGGAAUAUUGCGCAAUGGGGGCAACCCUGACGCAGUAACGCCGCGUGUACGAUGAAUCAGUUUAUCUGUGUAAAGUACUGUUAACCGGGACGAAAAGAUGUAUAAGCUACAUUUAUAUGACGGUACCGGUAGAGGAAGCUCCGGCUAACUCCGUGCCAGCAGCCGCGGUAAUACGGGGGGAGCUAGCGUUGUCCGGAAUCAUUGGGCGUAAAGGGCAUGUAGGUUGGACUUUAAGUCAGUUGUUAAAUAGUACGGCUUAACCGUAUUCUGCAAUUGAUACUGGAGUUCUUGAGUGUGAGAGGGGACAGAGGAAUACCUGGUGUAGCGGUGGAAUGCGUAGAUAUUAGGUAAAACACUUGAGGCGAAGGCGUCUGUCUGGCUCAUCACUGACACUGAAAUGCGAAAGCAUGGGGAGCAAACAGGAUUAGAUACCCCCGUAGUC
rnacentral:rRNA from 1 species